rnacentral:rRNA from 1 species
AUUGAACGCUGGCGGCAGGCUUAACACAUGCAAGUCGAGCGAGGUGAUGGUGCUUGCACUAUCACUUAGCGGCGGACGGGUGAGUAAUGCUUAGGAAUCUGCCUAUUAGUGGGGGACAACAUCUCGAAAGGGAUGCUAAUACCGCAUACGUCCUACGGGAGAAAGCAGGGGAUCACUUGUGACCUUGCGCUAAUAGAUGAGCCUAAGUCGGAUUAGCUAGUUGGUGGGGUAAAGGCCUACCAAGGCGACGAUCUGUAGCGGGUCUGAGAGGAUGAGCCGCCACACUGGGACUGAGACACGGCCCAGACUCCUACGGGAGGCAGCAGUGGGGAAUAUUGGACAAUGGGGGGAACCCUGAUCCAGCCAUGCCGCGUGCGUAAAGAAGGCCUUAUGGUUGUAAAGCACUUUAAGCGAGGAGGAGGCUCUUUUGGUUAAUACCCAAGAUGAGUGGACGUUACUCGCAGAAUAAGCACCGGCUAACUCUGUGCCAGCCGCCGCGGUAA